rnacentral:piRNA from 1 species
UGGAGGACAGCUCCAUGAGUGUUCAGAUGGU